AACUUUCGAAAUGUUUAUUUCUGGAAUUUUCCAUUUAAUAUUUUCGGACCAAGGUUGACUGUGGGUAACUGAAAUCGUGGAAAGUGAAACCCUGGAUAAAGGGGGACUACUGUGCUGAGAGGAGAAGAGGAAG